GAGAAAGUUCCCUUCGGGGGAUGAGUAAAGUGGCCCUUGGGUGAGUAACGCGUAGGCAACCUGCCCUCGAAUUUGGGAUAACCUUUCGAAAGAAGGGCUAAUACCGGAUAAGACCACGAGCUAACUGGGGUUCGUGGCCAAAGGUGCCGCAAGGUAUCGGUCGAGGAUGGGCCUGCGUGCUAUUAGCUUGUUGGUGAGGUAACGGCUCACCAAGGCUGAGAUGGCUAACUGAUCUGAGAGGAUGAUCAGUCACACUGGAACUGAGACACGGUCCAGACUCCUACGGGAGGCAGCAGUGGGGAAUUUUGCGCAAUGGGGGAAACCCUGACGCAGCAACGCCGCGUGAGCGAUGAAGGCCCUCGGGUCGUAAAGCUCUGUCAGGUGGGACGAAACGCUCCGGGUAAAUAAUCCGGAGAACUGACGGUACCACCAGAGGAAGCACCGGCUAACUCUGUGCCAGCAGCCGCGGUAAGACAGAGGGUGCAAGCGUUGUUCGGAAUUACUGGGCGUAAAGGGCGUGUAGGCGGUAUGGCAUGUCAGAUGUGAAAGCCCCCGGCUCAACCAGGGAAGUGCAUUUGAAACUGCCGUGCUGGAGUGCGAGAGAGGAGGGUGGAAUUCCCAGUGUAGAGGUGAAAUUCGUAGAUAUUGGGAGGAACACCGGUGGCGAAGGCGGCCCUCUGGCUCGCAACUGACGCUG
rnacentral:rRNA from 1 species